UAGUUGGUGAGGUAACGGCUCACCAAGGCUAUGAUCGUUAGCUGGUCUGAGAGGAUGGCCAGCCACACUGGAACUGAGACACGGUCCAGACUCCUACGGGAGGCAGCAGUGGGGAAUCUUGCACAAUGGGCGAAAGCCUGAUGCAGCGACGCCGCGUGGGGGAUGAAGCUUUUCGGAGUGUAAACCCCUUUCGACCCGGACGAAUGCCCCGCAAGGGGACUGACGGUACGGGUAUAAGAAGCCCCGGCUAACUACGUGCCAGCAGCCGCGGUAAGACGUAGGGGGCCAGCGUUGCUCGGAAUUACUGGGUGUAAAGGGUUCGUAGGCGGUGUGGCAAGUCGGGAGUGAAAUCUCUGGGCUCAACCCAGAGGCUGCUUCCGAAACUGCUGUGCUUGAGUGUGGGAGAGGCGCGUGGAAUUGCAGGUGUAGCGGUGAAAUGCGUAGAUAUCUGCAGGAACACCCGUGGCGAAAGCGGCGCGCUGGACCACAACUGACGCUGAGGAACGAAAGCUAGGGGAGCAAACAGGAUUAGAUACCCUGGUAGUCCUAGCCCUAAACGAUCAGGACUUGGGGUGCUUCACGUUCGUGGAGCGUCCCGGAGCUAACGCGUUAAGUCCUGCACCUGGGGAGUACGGUCGCAAGACUGAAACUCAAAGGAAUUGACG
rnacentral:rRNA from 1 species